rnacentral:rRNA from 1 species
AUCAUUCUGUAAUUAAAGUCACAACGGUGAAAGAUGAGCAUGCGUCCCAUUAGCUAGUUGGUAAGGUAACGGCUUACCAAGGCUACGAUGGGUAGGGGUCCUGAGAGGGAGAUCCCCCACACUGGUACUGAGACACGGACCAGACUCCUACGGGAGGCAGCAGUGAGGAAUAUUGGUCAAUGGACGCAAGUCUGAACCAGCCAUGCCGCGUGCAGGAUGACGGUCCUAUGGAUUGUAAACUGCUUUUGCACAGGAAGAAACACUCCGACGUGUCGGAGCUUGACGGUACUGUGAGAAUAAGGAUCGGCUAACUCCGUGCCAGCAGCCGCGGUAAUACGGAGGAUCCAAGCGUUAUCCGGAAUCAUUGGGUUUAAAGGGUCCGUAGGCGGUCUUUGUAAGUCAGUGGUGAAAGCCCAUCGCUCAACGGUGGAACGGCCAUUGAUACUGCAGGACUUGAAUUAUUGGGAAGUAACUAGAAUAUGUAGUGUAGCGGUGAAAUGCUUAGAGAUUACAUGGAAUACCAAUUGCGAAGGCAGGUUACUACCAAUGGAUUGACGCUGAUGGACGAAAGCGUGGGUAGCGAACAGGAUUAGAUACCCUGGUAGUCCACGCCGUAAACGAUGGAUACUAGCUGUUGGGAGCAAUCUCAGUGGCUAAGCGAAAGUGAUAAGUAUCCCACCUGGGGAGUACGAACGCAAGUUUGAAACUCAAAGGAAUUGACGGGGGCCCGCACAAGCGGUGGAGCAUGUGGUUUAAUUCGAUAUACGCGAGGAACCUUACCAAGGCUUAAAUGCAGACUGACCGAUUUGGAAACAGAUCUUUCGCAAGACAGUUUACAAGGUGCUGCAUGGUUGUCGUCAGCUCGUGCCGUGAGGUGUCAGGUUAAGUCCUAUAACGAGCGCAACCCCUGUUGUUAGUUGCCAGCGAGUCAAGUCGGGAACUCUAACAAGACUGCCAGUGCAAACUGUGAGGAAGGUGGGGAUGACGUCAAAUCAUCACGGCCCUUACGCCUUGGGCUACACACGUGCUACAAUGGCCGGUACAGAGAGCAGCCACUGGGCGACCAGGAGCGAAUCUACAAAGCCGGUCACAGUUCGGAUCGGAGUUUG